rnacentral:ncRNA from 1 species
AGGUGAUGUCUCCAACACCUUUAUCAACGGAGGCACUCGGCUAUGCUGUGGGUGGAAACACCUUAGCACUCGUUGGCAGUAGUGUAGCGUGAGGUAGGGUUAGAUGCCCU